AGAGUUUUGGAUCUGGCUCAGAUUGAACGCUGGCGGCAGGCCUAACACAUGCAAGUCGAGCGGUAACAGAUCCAGCUUGCUGGAUGCUGACGAGCGGCGGACGGGUGAGUAAUGCAUAGGAAUCUGCCCGAUAGUGGGGGAUAACCUGGGGAAACCCAGGCUAAUACCGCAUACGUCCUACGGGAGAAAGGGGGCUCCGGCUCCCGCUAUGGGAUGAGCCUAUGUCGGAUUAGCUAGUUGGUGAGGUAACGGCUCACCAAGGCCACGAUCCGUAGCUGGUCUGAGAGGAUGAUCAGCCACAUCGGGACUGAGACACGGCCCGAACUCCUACGGGAGGCAGCAGUGGGGAAUAUUGGACAAUGGGGGAAACCCUGAUCCAGCCAUGCCGCGUGUGUGAAGAAGGCCCUCGGGUUGUAAAGCACUUUCAGCGAGGAAGAACGCCUAGCGGUUAAUACCCGCUAGGAAAGACAUCACUCGCAGAAGAAGCACCGGCUAACUCCGUGCCAGCAGCCGCGGUAAUACGGAGGGUGCAAGCGUUAAUCGGAAUUACUGGGCGUAAAGCGCGCGUAGGUGGCUUGAUAAGCCGGUUGUGAAAGCCCCGGGCUCAACCUGGGAACGGCAUCCGGAACUGUCAAGCUAGAGUGCAGGAGAGGAAGGUAGAAUUCCCGGUGUAGCGGUGAAAUGCGUAGAGAUCGGGAGGAAUACCAGUGGCGAAGGCGGCCUUCUGGACUGACACUGACACUGAGUGCGAAAUGCUGACUCGUC
rnacentral:rRNA from 1 species